rnacentral:rRNA from 1 species
UACGGAGGGUGCAAGCGUUAUCCGGAUUUACUGGGUUUAACGGGUGUGUAGGCGGGCUUUUAAGUCAGUGGUGAAAUCUCCGGGCUCAACCUGGAAACUGCCAUUGAUACUAUUAGUCUUGAAUUUUGUUGAGGUAGGCGGAAUAAGUCAUGUAGCGGUGAAAUGCAUAGAUAUGACUUAGAACACCAAUUGCGAAGGCAGCUUGCUAAACAAAUAUUGACGCUGAGGCACGAAAGCGUGGGGAUCAAACAGG